rnacentral:lncRNA from 1 species
CAUUUGUCCCCUAAGAGCUCAGUGCUGGAAAGUAACAUCCAGCUUAGAAAUGUAGGAAGUCUGGACCAAGUUAUGAAAUCGUCCGUCUCUGAGGAGUACACUUAUCUAUGCAGUCAUCACUAACUGGGAGCUUUCUCAUAGUUCGUCUUCUCUGUUACAGAUUUAUUCCAUGCUCAGCUGUUAAAAGUCUUUGCUUCCUAGAUAUCUGGAAUCCAGGCAAGUCCCAGGUCUUAAUCUUUUUUAUGGAUCAGCCAGUUCCUGGGAAUAAUGCUGCAUCUGUUGCUCCUUCCUACGGAUUAGCUGCUAAAGGUGUUGCCCCGCCACCUGUUCAGUGGCAGGAAUGGUGUGUGUCCCUUUUUGAAGGAGACCUGUUCACUUAUGCCUUGGGAAAUUUCAGACUAAUAUUUCCCUUGCUUGUGAUUUUCCUUGUGAAGGCCAGAACAUAGAAAGGAAGAGUCCUGGUCAAAAUACAUCUCUUUCCUCCUGGGCCUCUGACUAUUGACAAUUUCUUUCUCCCCAGGAAAAUUACCCUUCCAGUUCACCAGACCUAUUCAGUGCUUAAUCCCACUCCUUUAAGCAAUGGUUUACAACAAGUAUUGAACUGGCUCUUUACUUACUAUCAUUUUAUGACUCAAAAGGACACUCUUCUUGUUUCCAUGACUUUGAAUAUAUUUGGGAGCAGCUGAAAUAACUGGGAGGGCUUGCUCCAGUUACUUUCCUGCAGGAUGUUUUCAAUUCUUAGGUAAAGGUCACAGCCCUUAAAACCUCAGUCACCUUUAUUUCUUUUCUGAUUUCUGUUUAACACAAUUACUGAAAUGGUUUAGUUUUUUUCUAACCAUUGAAAUGUUUAUAAAGGCAAAAAGGCUUGAAGAUUCCUAGCAUCUAUACCUACUCUCAUCAGUAAUGGAGAACUUACAAUUUCCUCACAUGUACCAUGGUUGCUCACCUGAAGUGGACUGGACACACCUGUAUGGAUAGAAGAUCCCAACCAAGGGCAAGGAGGUAGCCUGGUCUGUAAAGUGCUUGUGUGAAAGUAGGGGGAUCUUAUUUAGAUCCAUGGAACCAAGAUUCAAAACAAACAAAGAACAUGUAUGGUAGCACACUUGUAAUCCCAACUCUGGGGAACUAGAGAGGAGGGUCCCUGGGGCUUGCUGACUGGUGACUAUGCUAACCAGAUUGACAAGCUCCAACCAAUGAAAGUCCUUGUCUCAAAAACAAAGUGGAUGAAUUCUUAGGAACAUCUGAAGUUGUCUUCUGGCUUCUACAUGCAUACAUGUGUGCAUAUGUGCAUACAUGCACAUGAGUUCAAGGACGUGUGUGUGUGUGUGUGUGUGUGUGUGUGUGUGUGUGUGUGUGUGUGUGAAGAGUAGGGGAAAAAGUCUAAGAAGAGAGAAACAAAGUACCUUGAUCCAGGAUCAAGGUCCUCAGAGCAUUUAGGACAUUACA